UGAGGAAUAUUGGUCAAUGGACGCAAGUCUGAACCAGCCAAGUAGCGUGCAGGAUGACGGCCCUAUGGGUUGUAAACUGCUUUUAUAUGGGGAUAAAGUGGGGAACGUGUUCCCUUUUGCAGGUACCAUAUGAAUAAGGACCGGCUAAUUCCGUGCCAGCAGCCGCGGUAAUACGGAAGGUUCGGGCGUUAUCCGGAUUUAUUGGGUUUAAAGGGAGCGUAGGCCGUUUGGUAAGCGUGUUGUGAAAUGUAGGAGCUCAACUUCUAGAUUGCAGCGCGAACUGUCAGACUUGAGUGAGCACAACGUAGGCGGAAUUCAUGGUGUAGCGGUGAAAUGCUUAGAUAUCAUGAAGAACUCCGAUUGCGAAGGCAGCUUACGGGAGCGCAACUGACGCUGAAGCUCGAAGGUGCGGGUAUCGAACAGG
rnacentral:rRNA from 1 species